CUUAACACAUGCAAGUCGAACGAUGAAGCAGAGCUUGCUCUGUGGAUUAGUGGCGAACGGGUGAGUAACACGUGAGUAACCUGCCCUUGACUCUGGGAUAAGCGUUGGAAACGACGUCUAAUACCGGAUACGACCCUCGGAGGCAUCUCCUGGGGGUGGAAAGAAUUUCGGUCAAGGAUGGACUCGCGGCCUAUCAGGUAGUUGGUGAGGUAAAGGCUCACCAAGCCGACGACGGGUAGCCGGCCUGAGAGGGUGACCGGCCACACUGGGACUGAGACACGGCCCAGACUCCUACGGGAGGCAGCAGUGGGGAAUAUUGCACAAUGGGCGAAAGCCUGAUGCAGCAACGCCGCGUGAGGGACGAAGGCCUUCGGGUUGUAAACCUCUUUUAGUAGGGAAGAAGCGAAAGUGACGGUACCUGCAGAAAAAGCACCGGCUAACUACGUGCCAGCAGCCGCGGUAAUACGUAGGGUGCAAGCGUUGUCCGGAAUUAUUGGGCGUAAAGAGCUCGUAGGCGGUUUGUCACGUCUGCUGUGAAAACUGGAGGCUCAACCUCCAGCCUGCAGUGGGUACGGGCAGACUAGAGUGCGGUAGGGGAGAUUGGAAUUCCUGGUGUAGCGGUGGAAUGCGCAGAUAUCAGGAGGAACACCGAUGGCGAAGGCAGAUCUCUGGGCCGCUACUGACGCUGAGGAGCGAAAGCAUGGGGAGCGAACAGGAUUAGAUACCCUGGUAGUCCAUGCCGUAAACGUUGGGAACUAGAUGUGGGGACCAUUCCACGGUCUCCGUGUCGCAGCUAACGCAUUAAGUUCCCCGCCUGGGGAGUACGGCCGCAAGGCUAAAACUCAAAGGAAUUGACGGGGGCCCGCACAAGCGGCGGAGCAUGCGGAUUAAUUCGAUGCAACGCGAAGAACCUUACCAAGACUUGACAUAUACGAGAACGCUGCAGAAAUGUAGAACUCUUUGGACACUCGUAAACAGGUGGUGCAUGGUUGUCGUCAGCUCGUGUCGUGAGAUGUUGGGUUAAGUCCCGCAACGAGCGCAACCCUCGUCCUAUGUUGCCAGCACGUAAUGGUGGGAACUCAUGGGAUACUGCCGGGGUCAACUCGGAGGAAGGUGGGGAUGACGUCAAAUCAUCAUGCCCCUUAUGUCUUGGGCUUCACGCAUGCUACAAUGGCCGGUACAAUGGGCUGCAAUACCGUAAGGUGGAGCGAAUCCCAAAAAGCCGGUCUCAGUUCGGAUUGAGGUCUGCAACUCGACCUCAUGAAGUCGGAGUCGCUAGUAAUCGCAGAUCAGCAACGCUGCGGUGAAUACGUUCCCGGGCCUUGUACAGCACCGCCCGUCAAGUCAUGAAAGUCGGUAACACCCAACGCCGGUGGCCUAA
rnacentral:rRNA from 1 species